rnacentral:rRNA from 1 species
UCUCUGCCCUUGCGUGGAGCGGGACAUGUGGUGUUAGGGGUGCCAGCAGCGCUGGCGCGGUCGUCUCGGUGCCCAGGUCCUCGUGAUCGUGGCUUUUCGCCCCAUCGAGGGUGUAAGGCCCUUCGUGGCGCCGGACUCGCGUCGCCCGCUAGCAUCUCGGGAGUCGGGUUGCUUGAGAUCGCAGCCCGAAGUGGGUGGUAAACUCCAUCUAAGGCUAAAUACUGGACACGAGUCCGAUAGUAGACAAGUACCGCGAGGGAAAGUUGAAAAGAACUUUGAAGAGAGAGUUCAAUAGUACGUGAAACCGCACAGAGUCAAACGGGUGGAGCCGCAAUGUCGCUCGUCCCGGGGCAUUCAGCCCGUUUUCUCGUCCAUCAGGCCUUCCUGGUUCUAAAGUGGGGUGCGCUAUCGCGCGUGCGUCCACCGGGAGGGUUUUUCUAGGUGGCGAGACGGGUGCACUUGCUCCGGUCGUCGAGAGCCACGACCGGUUCCUUCGCAGGCAGUGUGGACUCCGUUUGGUCGGGUUAACGGCGGGACGAACGUUGUUCCUGUUUUUACCAACAGGGCCUCGAUCACCCGCUCCGACCGGGAGGGAAACUGGCCUGGGGACCGAGGACUGCAUCCGGUCGGCGUCCCCGUUACUCUCGAGCCGUGUGCCCUUUGCCGCCUCUUCUGGUGGCAAAGACGGGCGCGAGGUAGGCAUCGGGAGGGAGCGGGAAGGCGCUUUCGGCCGCUAAAAGGGUGCUUGUCGGUGGCGGAUCAGGUCGGUACUCCACCCGACCCGUCUUGAAACACGGACCAAGGAGUCUAGCAUGUGCGCGAGUCAAUGGGACUUUUCUGUACGAAACCCUACGGCGCAAUGAAAGUGAAGGCAUUUCCCUUGUUGGAGGCCUAGGCAGGAUGCUGGAUGAAAUAGGCCAGCCGCACUGCCGGCCCGUCCCGAUCGCCUUUGACGAUGGGGCGGAGCAAGAGCGCACACGCUGGGACCCGAAAGAUGGUGAACUAUGCUUGAGCAGGACGAAGUCAGGGGAAACUCUGAUGGAGGUCCGCAGCGAUUCUGACGUGCAAAUCGAUC